rnacentral:snRNA from 1 species
ACGCUGGGGUUUUUUCUUGC